rnacentral:rRNA from 1 species
GACGAACGCUGGCGGCGUGCCUAAUACAUGCAAGUCGAACGCUGAAGAGAGGAGCUUGCUCUUCUUGGAUGAGUUGCGAACGGGUGAGUAACGCGUAGGUAACCUGCCUUGUAGCGGGGGAUAACUAUUGGAAACGAUAGCUAAUACCGCAUAACAAUGGAUGACACAUGUCAUUUAUUUGAAAGGGGCAAUUGCUCCACUACAAGAUGGACCUGCGUUGUAUUAGCUAGUAGGUGAGGUAAUGGCGCACCUAGGCGACGAUACAUAGCCGACCUGAGAGGGUGAUCGGCCACACUGGGACUGAGACACGGCCCAGACUCCUACGGGAGGCAGCAGUAGGGAAUCGUCGGCAAUGGGGGCAACCCUGACCGAGCAACGCCGCGUGAGUGAAGAAGGUUUUCGGAUCGUAAAGCUCUGUUGUAAGUCAAGAACGGGUGUGAGAGUGGAAAGUUCACACUGUGACGGUAGCUUACCAGAAAGGGACGGCUAACUACGUG